rnacentral:rRNA from 1 species
UGAGUAACACGUAGGUGACCUGCCUAUUACCGGGGGAUAACACGAAGAAAUUCGUGCUAAUACCGCAUACGCAAAGUGAAUUUGGAAGUAGCUUUGGAAAGAAUGCCUCUCCUUGGAAGCAUUUACUAAUAGAUGGGCCUGCGUAGCAUUAGCUUGAUGGUGGGGUAACGGCCUACCAUGGCGACGAUGCUUAACUGGUCUGAGAGGAUGAUCAGUCACACUGGAACUGAGACACGGUCCAGACUCCUACGGGAGGCAGCAGUGGGGAAUAUUGCGCAAUGGGCGAAAGCCUGACGCAGCAAUGCCGCGUGAGUGAGGAAGGCCUUCGGGUUGUAAAGCUCUGUCAUAUGGAAAGAAUGGUCAUUGUUCUAACAGGGCAGUGAUUUGACGGUACCAUAAAAGGAAGCACCGGCUAACUUCGUGCCAGCAGCCGCGGUAAUACGAAGGGUGCAAGCGUUGUUCGGAUUUAUUGGGCGUAAAGCGCGCGCAGGCGGACUAUUAAGCCAGAUGUGAAAUCUCGGGGCUCAACCCCGAAACUGCGUCUGGAACUGGUAGUCUAGAAUCUUGGAGGGGGAAGCGGAAUUUCGCAUGUAGGGGUAAAAUCCGUAGAGAUGC